CUCACUCUCUUGGGAUCUCUGUUCCGAAGUGUUGCCGCCGCCUCUGCCGUUGCCUUGCCGCCGCCUCAUCUGUGAAAGCCCACCGUGUGCAGACUGUCGAGGUACUUAUUGCUUUGAAGAAAGGAACACAACUAAUCAAGUAUAGCUGGAAAAGGAAGCGCAAGUUUUGCACAUUUAGACUUUCUCGAGUAAGAAAUUAUCCUUUCCCUCACCUUUACCACGACAAAGUUUUUCUGUAUUCAUUCAACUUUGUUGUCGCAUGUUAACGCAAACUUAUAUGAUGCAACUUAUCUCUUCCUUCCGAUUU